GCUUGCUGCUUUGCUGACGAGUGGCGGACGGGUGAGUAAUGUCUGGGAAACUGCCUGAUGGAGGGGGAUAACUACUGGAAACGGUAGCUAAUACCGCAUAACGUCGCAAGACCAAAGAGGGGGACCUUCGGGCCUCUUGCCAUCGGAUGUGCCCAGAUGGGAUUAGCUAGUAGGUGGGGUAACGGCUCACCUAGGCGACGAUCCCUAGCUGGUCUGAGAGGAUGACCAGCCACACUGGAACUGAGACACGGUCCAGACUCCUACGGGAGGCAGCAGUGGGGAAUAUUGCACAAUGGGCGCAAGCCUGAUGCAGCCAUGCCGCGUGUAUGAAGAAGGCCUUCGGGUUGUAAAGUACUUUCAGCGGGGAGGAAGGGAGUAAAGUUAAUACCUUUGCUCAUUGACGUUACCCGCAGAAGAAGCACCGGCUAACUCCGUGCCAGCAGCCGCGGUAAUACGGAGGGUGCAAGCGUUAAUCGGAAUUACUGGGCGUAAAGCGCACGCAGGCGGUUUGUUAAGUCAGAUGUGAAAUCCCCGGGCUCAACCUGGGAACUGCAUCUGAUACUGGCAAGCUUGAGUCUCGUAGAGGGGGGUAGAAUUCCAGGUGUAGCGGUGAAAUGCGUAGAGAUCUGGAGGAAUACCGGUGGCGAAGGCGGCCCCCUGGACGAAGACUGACGCUCAGGUGCGAAAGCGUGGGGAGCAACAGGAUUAGAUACCCU
rnacentral:rRNA from 1 species